GUUAGGCGGUUAAGCAUACCUUUGUCCAAACCGAGCUGUUUGCAGUCCUGGACGCCACUUAUUCAAUGCCUCGUGUGGUAACGGUGCUCAUCCUGUUAUGGCCAUCGUGCCAGUCACAGAUUUCGCGUGCUUAUUAUCCAGGCGGGAAAAAUUUCAAACACGCGGUGUGCGCGCCACUAUGUAGGCCGGAACCCACAGCUCUGGUCCUCGCCGUGAACCUCCCAGCGGCGAGAGGGCCAUCACCUACUCUCUCUUUUUCUCGCCCCCCUUUCAUUUCUUUGCUCCACUACUCCGUGGUUCUUAAGGAGACGGAUGAUUUCAUGAUCAGAAUCUUUUUAAGGAUAUGGAUGCUUCAUGACCAGAAUCCUUUUUAAGGAGAUCGAUGGUUUUAUGACCAGAAUCUCGAAAAGGUUAAAGGUUUUGUUGCUCCCAAUGCUGCCCUCACACUGCGUCACACAUCACUCCCAACGAGGCCUUGCAAAUGGUUUGAUGUUCUCCAUGCUAAGCCGAGAUGCAUCGAACGUGUUACAAUUCGAUUCUUUUUAGCCUUUUUGACGGGCAUAAAUGCUGCGCAAAGCAGGCUGCAGGUGCUAAAGUGUUUCAGUUUGGGGGCAGCGAAUGCCAAGUCGAAGUAGGAUGAUGCAAGCCAUGCAGCUCUUGUAGUUAUUGCUUGAUAUCAAAGUAUCACCAAGAAAAGUUUGGUUUGUACUUUAUAGUAUUUUCUUUUUAAGAUUUCAAUCUGGACUGAUUCCCUUCUAAUUCUUCAUGGGCUCAGACAACAUGAGCAGAAGAGAAAGGGUAGAAUGCAGUCAGUCAUUCAAUAAAGUCUGCUGUUUAGUUGCGUUAGAGAUGGUGGGUGGGUGAAAUAAAUGAGAAUAAUAAAGCAAACCAGAUCACCAGAAUUGUGGCAUCUCCUGAGGAUGCUGCGCGUGCUUGCGAGGACGACGUGGACGCUGAAAGCUCAAAUGGAUAGAUACCACCUUCUGGCCGGCAAUUUUUCAGGGCAACUUUAAUGCUCGGGGAAUCCAUCCUUUUAUUGCGUGUUGGGCAUUAAAACACCAUUCAAGCACGGCAAGCGAGUGCAUGUCAAGCUUACCUCCGAGAAUUGCAUGUCUGGUAAUUCUCUUAGGAAUCAAAGUAUUUUCGUCUGAAAAUUUAAAGUACGAUUACAGGCAUCGAACUGUUAAACAUACAUUCUGCAUGCUUCCACAUAUACAUGGAUGUAUUCCUUGUAUAUUAUCCAUGCCAAGCUUGUGUUGUUGAGUACUAUGCUUAAUAUGUAAGAUCAGCUUCCAAAAAGGGUUUUAUGGUUGCUUUCCAACAAA